GCGGAGGAAAAGAAACUAACAAGGAUUCCCCUAGUAACUGCGAGUGAAGAGGGAAAAGCUCAAAUUUAAAAUCUGGCUUCCUUAGGUUGUCCGAGUUGUAAUCUAGAGAAGCGUCAUCCGCGUUGGACCGUGUACAAGUCUCCUGGAACGGAGCGUCAUAGAGGGUGAGAAUCCCGUCUUUGACACGGACUACCAGGGCUUUGUGAUGCGCUCUCAAAGAGUCGAGUUGUUUGGGAAUGCAGCUCAAAAUGGGUGGUAAAUUCCAUCUAAAGCUAAAUAUUGGCGAGAGACCGAUAGCGAACAAGUACCGUGAGGGAAAGAUGAAAAGAACUUUGGAAAGAGAGUUAAACAGUACGUGAAAUUGCUGAAAGGGAAACGCUUGAAGUCAGUCGCGUUGGUCGAGAAUCAGCCUUGCUUUUGCAUGGCUUAUUUCGCGGCUCAACGGGUCAGCAUCAAUUUUGAUCAUUGGAUAAAGAUGAGAGGAAUGUGGCAUCUUCGGAUGUGUUAUAGCCUCUUGUUGCAUGCAGUGGUUGGGAUUGAGGAACUCAGCACGCCGAAAGGCCGGGAGCAAUCCACGUUCGUGCUUAGGAUGCUGGCAUAAUGGCUUUAAUCGACCCGUCUUGAAACACGGACCAAGGAGUCUAACAUGCCUGCAAGUGUUUGGGUGUAAAACCCAUGCGCGCAAUGAAAGUGAAAGUUGAGAUCCCUAUCGUGGGGAGCAUCGACGCCCGGACCAGACCUUUUGUGACGGAUCCGCGGUAGAGCAUGUAUGUUGGGACCCGAAAGAUGGUGAACUAUGCCUGAAUAGGGUGAAGCCAGAGGAAACUCUGGUGGAGGCUCRUAGCGAUUCUGACGUGCAAAUCGAUCGUCAAAUUUGGGUAUAGGGGCGAAAGACUAA
rnacentral:rRNA from 1 species